rnacentral:rRNA from 1 species
AGUGAACGCUGGCGGUAGGCCUAACACAUGCAAGUCGAACGGCAGCACAGUAAGAGCUUGCUCUUACGGGUGGCGAGUGGCGGACGGGUGAGGAAUACAUCGGAAUCUACUUUUUCGUGGGGGAUAACGUAGGGAAACUUACGCUAAUACCGCAUACGACCUACGGGUGAAAGCAGGGGAUCUUCGGACCUUGCGCGAUUGAAUGAGCCGAUGUCGGAUUAGCUAGUUGGCGGGGUAAAGGCCCACCAAGGCGACGAUCCGUAGCUGGUCUGAGAGGAUGAUCAGCCACACUGGAACUGAGACACGGUCCAGACUCCUAGGGGAGGCAGCAGUGGGGAAUAUUGGACAAUGGGCGCAAGCCGGAUCCAGCCAUACCGCGUGGGUGAAGAAGGCCUUCGGGUUGUAAAGCCCUUUUGUUGGGAAAGAAAAGCAGCAGGUUAAUACCCCGCUGUUCUGACGGUACCCAAAGAAUAAGCACCGGCUAACUUCGUG